AUGAGAGUAGGUCAUUUUCAUUUUAAGCCCCUAUACUUUAGGGUAGUUUAUUAUUCAGCAUUGCUGAGGCCACAGCUGACCCCUACACUAGCAAUGGUUUGGUUGUGGUUCUUGCAGACAGCAGGUCAUGCCGGCUGGGGUUGGGGUGGCUGCUUUGGGGCCCUAGAAGCUAGGGAAUAAGUAGAGGAGACUGCAGACACCUCUUGCUCAUUUCCCUGCUGCAGUGUCUUCCUUGUUUCUUGAGGACUGAUUUCUAAGUGGUCUGGAAAGAGAGAAUGGUGCUCAGUCAUACAUA
rnacentral:lncRNA from 1 species